rnacentral:lncRNA from 1 species
UUCUUUCACACACAAGACAACACAUCACUUUUUUAUUUGCCAUACAUAAAAAAGGAGAAUUCGGAGAAUAUUUGAUGCUUAUUUGCACUUGUGAUAGCAGUAACAAUAACGUCUGAAGAUGCUCUUCUUAAUGCACAUACCCCUCUUUGCCCCCUCUUUCUCUUUGCAUUCUUAUAUUGUUGGGAUGUUAGGCAGAUGUCUAAGCAAUUCUUCUUAAUGCACAUACCCCUCUUUGCCCCCUCUUUCUCUUUGCAUUCUUCGUCGCAGUGUUCACUAAUAAUGCAAUAGCCAGAAAAUGUCUUGCUCUUCCUUCGGCAAAGUUUGCCCUCUGCCGCUUGCAUCUCUGCAUGGAACAACAACUUAUCAUAAGUAUUUUUUGGUUAAAAAAUUUUAUAUGAAUUGAAUAUAUGAAUUUCUUCUAAAAAAUGUUGAAAUAUAAGUAUUUUCUGCUAUAAGUUAUAACAAUAACGAUAGUCAUUUUAUAUUAGCGAGUUUGUAUUAGUGUGCAAAGGCAUAGUAGGUGCUAGCUGCCAGUACUAUGAAAGGAUUAUAGCAAGUUAAACUUAGCGUAAAUUAAUAAAUGUAUAAUAAAUCUUUUCAAUUUUUCAUAAUAUUGGAUUGUAUUUUUGGAUGCAAAUAUUAUAAAGACACCGACUACAACUAGCUUGGGAUUGAGGUAUAUACCCCAUUAUUUUGUUUUAAAAACACCGAUAUUUGGACUUAAAAAAUAUGCAUACAACUUUCACAAAUGAAAUGACAAUGAAAGAAGUACGAACCAUUUGAUGAAAUGAGGAGGAAGCACAAGAGGAGAGCAAGGAAGGUUGUGUAACUCACUAGUGACUUUGCCAUAUUCGUAUACUUAUAAUACAAUCUUCCUAUUUUCUUUGAAGUGAUUUGUGUG